rnacentral:rRNA from 1 species
UUAAAUUGAAGAGUUUGAUCAUGGCUCAGAUUGAACGCUGGCGGCAGGCCUAACACAUGCAAGUCGAACGGUAACAGGAAACAGCUUGCUGUUUCGCUGACGAGUGGCGGACGGGUGAGUAAUGUCUGGGAAACUGCCUGAUGGAGGGGGAUAACUACUGGAAACGGUAGCUAAUACCGCAUAACGUCGCAAGACCAAAGAGGGGGACCUUCGGGC